rnacentral:rRNA from 1 species
GAGCGAGAAAGGGGAGCAAUCCCUGAGUAAAGCGGCGUACGGGUGAGUAACACGUGGGUAAUCUACCUUUUAGUGGGGAAUAACUUUGGGAAACCGAAGCUAAUACCGCAUAAUCCUGUGAAGGGAAAGCAGCAAUGCGCUGAAAGAGGAGCCCGCGGCCGAUUAGCUAGUUGGUGAGGUAACGGCUCACCAAGGCGAUGAUCGGUAGCCGGCCUGAGAGGGCACACGGCCACACUGGCACUGAAACACGGGCCAGACUCCUACGGGAGGCAGCAGUGGGGAAUCUUGCACAAUGGAGGCAACUCUGAUGCAGCGACGCCGCGUGAGCGAUGAAGCCCUUCGGGGUGUAAAGCUCUUUCGGCAGGGACGAUAAUGACGGUACCUGAAGAAGAAGCUGCGGCUAACUACGUGCCAGCAGCCGCGGUAAUACGUAGGCAGCGAGCGUUGUUCGGAAUUACUGGGCGUAAAGAGUGUGUAGGCGGUGCUCUAAGUUCGGUGUGAAAUCUCCUGGCUUANCUGGGGAGGGUGCGCCGAAAACUGGAAUGCUCGAACGUUGGGAGAGNAAAGCGGANUUCCUGGUGUAGCGGU